UACGGAGGGUGCGAGCGUUGUUCGGAAUUACUGGGCGUAAAGCGCGUGUAGGCGGCCUUCUAAGUCAGGUGUGAAAGCCCCGGGCUCAACCUGGGAAUUGCAUUUGAGACUGAAUAGCUAGGGUGCGGAAGAGGGAAGCGGGAAUUUCCGGUGUAGCGGUGAAAUGCGUAGAUAUCGGAAGGAACACCAGUGGCGAAAGCGGCUUCCUGGUCCAGCACCGACGUCAGCACGAAAGCG
rnacentral:rRNA from 1 species